AUGACCUUCGUCACCAUCAUCAUCUGGGCCCUGGCCUUCUGCACUCACAAUGCCAGAGGACAGAUCACAGUAACUCAGACUCCUGCAGUGAAAUCUGUUCGCCCAGGAGCCGUGGUCAGUGUGCACUGUAAAACCAGCACCUCCAGUAACCUUAAGGAUGAUGUAUCCUGGUUCCAACUCAAGGCCGGAGAAGCUCCCAAACUCCUGAUUUAUGGUGCAGAAGAACGUGGUCCUGGGGUUCCAGGUCGGUUCUUUGGCAGUGGAUCUGGAACUGAUUUCAUACUGCUCAUCAAUAAAGUCCAGGCUGAGGACGCAGGAGAGUAUUACUUCAAUCAGGCUGAAUCACUGUGGUGCAUAUUUGGCGGUGGCACCAAACUUGAUAUUGGAAGGGACGCCGCCCCGACCCUCACAGUCCUGCCCCCCUCCAGCGUGGAGCUGUCCAGCAGGGGGGAGGCCACUCUGACGUGCCUGGCCAACAAGGGCUUCCCCUCGGGUUGGACGCUGCGCUGGAAGGUGGACGGCACCAGCAAGAGCUCGGGAGCCAGCGGGAGCACCGGGGUCCUGGAGAAGGACGGCCUGUACAGCUUCAGCAGCACCCUGACCCUCUCUGCGGCCGAGUGGGGGAAGGCGGGCUCGGUGACGUGCGAGGCCACCCUGGCCGGCCAGCCCGCAGUGACCGAGACGCUGAGGAGAGCCGACUGCUCCCAGUGA